UACCACAAACUAAUUUAAAGAUAACGUAUGAUAUAACAGCAGUAGCAGAAAUAAGGUUGAUACAAUAAUUAAUGAAGCUCUACGCUACACCAAUUAGUGGUACCAUACCAUGCAUGAUCCAUCACACAGAGGAAAAAAAAAAGAUUUUAUUUAGCUUACUAUAUACGUAUUGCCAGCAGCGUGCAUGCUAGUACGGGGGAGGGGGAGGAUGAGGAGGGCGGUUCCAAGGCGGCGUUGGCCUGUAACGAUCAUAGUUGUAAGGAGGUGCAGGAUCGAGGGGCCCCGAGGCGUUGCAAAAGAAGGGGGUGGAGAGUUAUGGUGAUGGUACCGAGGAGGUGGUGGAGGAGGCAAAUGGAACAAUUCGGGGCGUGGUUGAAAUAUAAGUGUGCAACCCAAGAGGGGGGUGAAUUGGAAUUUAAAAAAUUAUCCUAGCAAAUCCACACAACAAGCAAUCUAAUGUCUUAAUAAAAAUUGAAAACAAUAAAUUCAAUCAUGCACAAUAUUAAAAGAGUAAGGGAAGAGAAAACAAACACAAUGAUUUUUACGUGGUUCGGCAAUCCCCGCCUACGUCCACGCCUCCAAGCUCACAGGGCUUGAGGAUUUCACUAAGCUAGCCUCUCAAGGCUUCAAACGCUUACAAUUGACUUCCAAGGUGUCAAUGGACCUUUACAACAAGAGAUUAUCCCCAAUCUCUUAACCCAAGUGUAUCCCAACACUUACAAUCUUUUAACUUGAUUUUACAAAAAAAGAUUACAAAUGAAUCUCUCUCACACAAUGUGUUUGAUCACAAGUAAAAGCUCAAUGUGUGAAUGAAUGAGAUGAAUACAAGAAUUUAAAGCUCAAUGAAAGUUGUAUUCUCAAUAUUUUGCUCAAUGAUGAUCGUUCGAAUUCAUCUUGUUUGAAUUGGAUUGAGCUUAUUUAUAGUUGGAGCUGAAAAACUAGCCGUUAUAGACUGUCUGCUCGAAAACGGUUCGCCGUUAACCAUUAACGGUUAACCGUUUAGGCUGGUCAAAGUUACCGUUGGGUCAAUUUUCAAAUAAACGGUUAGCCGUUUAGGAUUACCCUUUCGCCGUUAAUUUUCAGAGACCUGUAAAACAAAUUUGGUUUAACCGUUCUUACUAAACGGUUCAAGGUUAGCAAUCUGGAAAUAAUCGGUUAACCGUUUUCAGUAAACGGUUCACCGUUAGUUUCCAGAAUCAUCAUUUUAACAAUACUUUGCAGAACAUGCUUUCUGGAAAUUAUCGGUUAGCCGUUUUAAAUAAACGGUUAGCCGUUUGCUACAGUGAUUGCUACAGUGAAAAUAUUUUCUAAAUUUACAGUUUGACCCCAAAACUUUAUAAAACUAUAUUACGGCCCAAAACGUUAUGAAACUUUGCACAUAUGUCCAAUUUCAGAAUUUCUAAAUAAUACUUUGUUAAUCCUAAAACUUUCUGAAAUUAUGGUAUAGCCCAAAAUACUAUGACACUUUUCAAAUAAGUCCUUUACCAAGAUUUCAAGCAAUACAUGUUUAUUUCAAAGUUUUCAAAAUUCUUUCAAUUAAACCAUAAACUUUGAAAAACAACCAAUUUCAUAAAAUCAUUUUUCCAUUAAAUAUGAAACAUUUAUAAUGUGAAAAUAAUGAUUUAUUUAAAAAGAAUAAAAACAAUCAAUUUCAUAAAAUCAUUUUUCCAUUAAAUAUAAAACAUUUAUAAUGUGAAAAUAAUGAUUUAUUUAAAAAGAAUAUUAAAUAAUUUGAGCUUAAAAGAUUAAUCAUUCUUAAUCUUGUUUGUUAUCAUCAAAAUCAAUAUUAUGGAAACAUAUAUGUUAACAGUGGUGGCGGUGGUGGUGGAGGUGAAGGACCGUAAACGUGAGGUGGCGGUGGUGGGUGAGGAGCAUAUGGGUCUGCUACUGGUGGUGGUGGUGGUGGAGGACUUGGACCUGGACCUGGACGGUGGUGUCUAUGAAAUGCCAUGUUUUUGAAAGUUAGGUGAUCAAUACAAAGUGUUGUGCUGUUGUUUUUGUUUUAAGGGAUUUGGAGUUGUUCGUAUGUACACUAGAAACAUGUAUUUCCUUUGACGGUUUGUUGGAUGACGUGCAGAUGUUUGUGCCUCGGCUUCCUCAGCCAAUCAGAAUUUUAUUUUUGUCAAAAUUCGUUUCGUCUCCUCAUAUACUCCGUUUCAAGAGUGCAUAAUAUUUUAUUGACUAUUAUUAUUAUUAUUAUUAUUAUUAUUAUUAUUAUUAUUAUUAUUAUUAUUAUUAUUAUUAUUAUUAUUAUUAUUAUUAUUAUUAUUAUUAUUAUUAUUAUUAUUAUUGGUUUUGACUAUUUUAUGAUGUUUAGACUUUAGACUACAAGAUAUGAUGUCAAAAAUAGACCCAUGUAUAAUAAUAUUAUGUUGUUAUCUUUCAUUUUGAUAACAAAAUCUCUUCGUAUCAUCGCAGAUUAUUCAUUUUCAUUUUACGAAAAGUAAAAAAAAAAAGCAUGGUUGUAAAGAAACUGCACCAUUAAUUAAAUCGUGAAAAUAUUAUUAAUCAUUACUAUAUGAUUUUCUAACUUUCUAAUACCAGUAACCAUAUUAUAAUAUACUAACACACUUUUUUUUCAAUUACACCAAAUUAUUAUUAUUAUUAUUUUCAUAAUAAAUUGAAGCUGUAAUAAUAUUUUUAGCACCAUUCCAAUUUAUUCAAUAAAUAUAUAAUUUAUUAUUUUAUAAAAUAGGCGGCCUCUAACUCUAGUUGAAAAAAAAAGGAAAAAAAAUUGAAUCGAGAACAUGUUUGAGAAUACAACAAAAAUUAUACCAUUCAAAGAAAAAUUAUAAAACCUAAGGGGUAUUAACAAAAAUUCCUUGGACUAGGCCAGGCAAUGUCUGCCACUGGUGGAAAGUAGAUAUUUAUUUGCAUUUGUGGUUGUAAUCGAAAAUGGUAGGGAUAGUGAAUCUUUUAGGUGUAUUUCUUACGGGUGUCGUAAUUUUGACAUCGACUAAAACUUGUUUAAAUUUUGACAUUUUUAUUAGUGCAUUGAAUGUAACGUGUUGCUAUUACGAUGUAGGGAUGGCAAUAGGGAGGGGAGGGGAGGGGACCAAUCUCCCUAUACCCAUUCCUGAUAUUUUGUUAUGUCCCCGUUCCCUCCGCGUCCCCGUCAGAAUUGCUUAAGAGAAUCUUUAUCCCCUCUCUGAAUAAUAACAGGGGAUCCCCGAGGGUCCCCGGUCCCCGAAUAACUAAUAGUCUAAUACAUUUUUUUUUAUUUUUUUUUAAAUUAAUCAUAUUAAAAUAAAAAAUUCAGAUAAAAAUAAAGUUUAAAAUAUAUCUUGCAUUAAUAUUGAUCCAUUACAAAGUCACAUUCAAAAUAUAAAUUAUUAAAAUAAUUAUCUUUGUCAAUGACUCAAUCUUCAUAAUCCUACAAUAAAAAGAAAAAAAAUUAUUUUUAUAUCGGUAAUAAAAUAAAUAAAAUAAAUGUAGAUACUUAAUUAAUAUUUUUAAUAAAACUAUUUACCUCCUGCUCCUCCUGUUCUUCCUCGAGAAAUGUGGCAAAUUGAGAGCUAGUCUCAGAUUUCAAACCUAAAACAAUGAAAAUGAUAUAAGUAACGUAACUUAUAAGUGCAAAUAUUAAUUACUGUAUAAUAUAAUUACAAUGUAAAAUAAACUCAUACUGCUAUUGUAAGCUCGUAACCAACUUUGACAGCACAUUAAGGCCUCCAAUGUGUUUGGAUGAAGUUUGUUACGGUGUGCACUCACAACUCUACCACCGGUGCUAAAAGCUGAUUCAGAAGCAACUGUUGUAAUUGGAAUUGCCAAAAUAUCUCUAGCAAUUCGAGCUAAUGUAGGAUUCGAAUUAGGAUUAGAACUGUUGUAAAUUAUAAUUAGGCAGCUCUCUCCUGUAUCAUUGUGGUUUAGAUUAAAAAUUUAAGACUUUAAUUAGUUAAUUAAGUUUAAAAGUUUAAUAAUAUAACUAUUUUAAUAUUUAUUAUUUUUAACAAUAUUUAUAAUUUUGUUAUUUAUUUAUUAGUAAUUUUAAAAAUAAAAAUAAAAUUAAAAAUUAAAAUGGGGAAAUGGGUAGGGGAUGGGGAUUCCACCUCAUCCCCGUCCCCUCCCCGAAUAAAAAAUUGGGUAAAAAUUUUUCCCGUCCUCUCCCCGAAUAAAAAAUUGGGUAUAAAAUUAUCCCCGUACCCCCCCCCCCCCCGAAUGAGGAAAAUCCCCGAGGGUACCCGUCCCCGUGGGAAUUUUUGUCAUCCCUAUUACGAUGUCACGAAGUCAAGACUCUGUCCUGCUUUCUGCUUCGGCGUUUGUGAUUUGGCUUUGCCAACACCUUCUUCCCUUUCUAAUAUUGUAUUUCCUCCUAUGGUAGGGUGAAUAUUUACUAAUGCUGCAGUGCACACGUCACGAGAACUGGGCUUUCGGUUUGCACAGAUCGAACCCUGGGCUCUUGUUAAGUUUUAGCGCCCCCCCCCCCCCCCCCCAAUACCCAAAUACCAUCCAAACGGAUAAAUAACAACAAUGGAAAAUUCUCAUAGCACCUCUUUUAAAUUUUAUUUUUUUUUCCUAAAAAAUGAUGCUAUAAAAAAAAAACCAUAAUUUUUACUCUUCGAACCUAUCUUUAUAUUCAACGUAAUUUUAUUAAAUCCUAAAUAUAUUCUCAAGCAAUGGAUUUUUGUAAUCAUGUUUGUUCUUUUGCUGGAAUUUAAAUUGCAAUGGCAGCUAGGGGUGGGCAAUUUAUUCGACCUGAUCCAAUCCGAUUAAAAAAAAAUCAAGUUAGGAUCGGAUCAGAUGGAAGAUAAUAUCCGAACGGGUUGGCUAAAAAAAAAAACACACGCAAGACACUCAAACACCACCCACUCAUUCACACAGUCACACCACUCUCAGCCCACUCAAACUCAAACCUACAACAAUGAGCAGCCUACAGCCAACACUCUCGUCUCUCUCAACUCAACUUCACUACUUCAGUUCUCAUCUCGCUCUCGUCUCUCUCUCAAGUCUCAACUCUCGAGAUUCAAGAAAGAAAAUAGAAUUGUGACAAACACACUCUAAAAUAUUUUGCAAAGAAAUAUCAAAUGGAUGAAAAGAUAUAAAUGAAGGAUUCCUAAACCAACAGAAGUGGCAGUGCCUUUCUUUAAGCGCAUUCUCAAUCUUGCACGAGUGACUGAUGUUACUUACAAGGAUGAUAAUGGCUACACCAAUUCUUAUGUGAUCAAAGACUAUAUCACCCACUGCUUGAGAAGCCUGUUCUCUUUUGAGUAGUUUUUGCGAUGCAGAUUACAUCCUAUAUAAACUAUUAAUGUUGUUUUUGGAAUAAGCUCUGAAAUUUGUUCCUCAGAGAGCUUUUUUGCUGCUGUCAUCACAAUUAUCAAAUUCUUCCGUACAAUUAGUAAAGGCUUCCCUGUUUAUAUAUAUAUAAAUAAAAGAAAUCACCCAACAUAGUGUUGUUUAACUGAAAAAGGAAAUUCAAGCAUCCAAAAUCAAAAUAUCCAAAAUGAAAAUAAGGUACCUAAUACUUGAAAGAAAGGGAUAUUCAAUACCCGUUUCAAAUCGUGCAUAAUCAUCUAGCAUGGCUCUCAUUGUCCCUCUGCAGCGCCGACUUUUUCCAUUAUUUUCUGCCCUUCUUCACCUUCGUCAUGAACCGAUCAAGACCGAAUGGAUCAGCUUCUUCAGCCUCCUUCUCAAACUUAACCGGUCCGUCCCUCGUACCAGACCUCUCAGAUGUACCUGCAAAUGCCUUGUCGGGUUUAAACCGAUCAGUCUUUCUAAUCUUCUCCAACUGCUCAUCCGCAUUUGCUCCAUAAAUUUCAGCAUCAGCAUCUUUUUUGGGCCUGUAAAGGGUUGAAAGAGUCGGCUGUGCUGUAAACAAGCCUUUGUCAUACACAUUAUACUGAUCACCGUCAGUGGCAAAACCAGAGUCCAUUCCUUUCUUCUGAUUAAAAAGCCUUGCGUCAUGAGUAACCUCACCCGCUCUGCCUCCGCCACCAAAAGAGGCCAUCCCAAGGGCAACUUUCUCGCUAACAUCCCGAUCUCUGUCUCUAACAACCUUACUAUUCUUCUUCCCCAUAGCAACAUCCUUGGCCAGCAAAUUUCUCUCCCUCUUCCUCUCGCGACGUCUCUCCUCACGAAUUCUCUCCCUCUCCCUUUCCCUCUCCCUCAGCAAUCCCUGCUCGCUUUCCUUCAAUGUCUCCAUUGCCUUACGUGCUAAAUCCCGUAGCUGCUGCUCUUUCCUUUCCUUCUCCUUCGUGAGCAUCUCCAUCUGCACCUUGAAUCUUAUUUCAAUUGCCUCCCUCGCCUUCUGCUCUGCCAAAUAAAGAGCCUCCGACAAUUUAGCAAAUCCCUCAUUUACCUGAACCUCCAGAAGCCCUCUUCCUUCGGCAGCGAGCUGCUUAUCCAGCGGAAUUGUAAACCGCUGUGGGUUCUUCCAAUUUGAUAUACAUGGUGGGAUUCUCCAAUCCAGCUGAUCUUUCACAGUCAUAGGCCUAGGAGGGGAAUGCAUGACCGGUACUGGCGGAGAUCCCGAAGCUUUCGGCACACGCUUGUGCUUCAACUUUGGUGGCUCAAGUGGGUCCAAAGGCAUCGCCACCACUCUCAAAAUCCUCCUUUUUAGGGAUGGCAAUGAAUUGGAUUUGAUCCAAGAUCCAUGUAAUUCAAAUCCAAUCGGAUCGGAUUUGGAUCGGUUUAAAAUAGAUUUGGAUCAGAUGUGCGGAUUUAAGACGAAUCUGGAGUAGAUAUGGAUCUAUCGUAAUAUUUAAAUCCAUAUUCAUAUCCACUCAUCUUUUAAUUUUAUUUUAUUUUAAAAGUUUCUUAAUAAUUGUGGAAUGAUAAUAUGAUAAUAAAUUUUAUUCAUAGCAUAUAUAGUAGUAUUUACCAUGUAUUUAAACUCUUUUUUUUUUUUAGAAGAAUGUAUUUAAACUCUUAAAACUUAAAGGUUAGUUUUGUAAAUUUAAAGGUCAGCCAGCCUCAAAGCAUGUACAUGCAAUAUUCAAAUUGCAAUCCAAGUAAUAUAACCUGGUAAUUUAUUUUAUCAUAUUGGCCAAAUAAUUUUUAAGGAAUAUAGUUAUUCAUAUAUUUAGUCAAAUAUGGUCAUAAUAAAAAUAAUAAAGGACUGAAUAUAAAUCAUAUUUAAUUUAUAUGUCAUUAUUUAAUGUUGUAGGAAUGAGGGUAGGUGUAUCGUGGAUAUUAGAAUGAUGAAGGAGACAAUAGAAUAUUAGAUUGAUCUUACUCCUGCAAUUACUUCUAAAUGAUAUUUUAUUAUCUUUCUUAUUUGUUGUUUUGGUAUAAAAGUAUAAGCUACAAUAUUUAUUAUAUUUUUUAGAAAAAUUAUAUAAUUUAUUUGUUAUCAAUACAUUUUAGCCUUCAAUUUUCAAUCUAAAAAAUUAUUACUUUUUUAUUACGGAAUUUUAGAAUUCAUGAUGGAUCUAGAGCAGAUUUGGAUUUUAAUUUUUUUUCAGAUUUGGAGCGGAUAUAGAUAUUUAUUUCUUUUUUGGAUCUGGAUAUGGAGCGAAAAAUAUGGAUUCAUAACAGAUCUGGAGCAGAUAUGGAUCUUGAUUUUUAUUAUGGAUUUGGAUCUGGAACAAAUACGGAUCUUAAUUUUUAUUAUAGAUUUGGAUCUGGAGCAAAAUAAAUCCAACACAUAUCUACCUCAUUGCCAUCCCUACUCCUUUUAGCCCCAGAAUAGAAGUCCACCGAUUGUUGUGAUGGUCUGUACAUAAUAAAUUUGGACUCUAAUGACUGCGUAGGUGCAGCAUUCACAACACUGUUAACAAUCUUUUCAAGUUCAGCUUUUGUUACAGGAGUAGUCACGUCAAUCUCAUCUUCUUGAUCAGGAAAAGCGCUACCAUCAUCAUCAUCGAAAUCCUCAAGUUUCCGUGGAAGUAUCACCAUGUUACAAAGAUUUCUUGCUUGUCAAUCAAGCCUGUGAUUAGUCCCAAGCAAUUUAAGGGUUCCUCAAGGGCUGAAAAAGAAUCUUGUGUUUUUUGUUAUCGUACACAACCAGCAAAUUUCUCUCCCAGUAGCGGCGACUCUGUUUUAAGAUUUGCUAAUGCUAUGCUAGUUUGCUAACUUGUAGCGGAGGUAAUCUCACUAAUGCUAAAACUAGAUAUCCUGAUGUAAAAACUUUAAACACAAAAAAAGUGCUCGUUUUGAAAAAUUAUUUGAGAUUACAACCUUAUUUAUUAGUUUUAAUUAUUACUCAAAAAAGCUAUUACAAUAAUUGAAAUCCUAGUCAAAACUAAAAUAAUAAUAAAAACUAAUUAAUAUGGCAACAGAUAAGACAAAUCCUAAACAAAUUAGAAAUACCAAUUAAAAAGAGGAAAAUUUCGGAUUAGAACAAAAAGAAAGGGCAAUAAUCUUUAUCCGUAUCCGUAGAAAAUAAGGAAAAUUUUUUAUGUAGAUAAUAAAGACUUGCCCACGGUAGUGUCCUAAGAAAGUAAGGAAAACCAAUCUAUAUAAAGAGACUUGCCUGUGCUUGUCGAAAAGCAUUAUACCUUCUUCUUUUAAUUAGCCUGCUAGCUAGCUCCUUAGUAAUCAGUCCCAAAUUUUCAGCUUUCUUAACUUCUUCUCCGUUACCUUAUUCAUCAUCUUCAUUAAAACAAGAAAACAGGAGAAAAAAAAUGCCUGGUGUUUCAAGAAUUGAUAAGGGUAAUGGCAGAGUGUACCCUGGAUACCUUACCCCAUUCGUCGCAAUCACAUGUAUCGUUGCUGCCAUGGGUGGCCUCAUCUUUGGUUACGACAUUGGGAUUUCUGGUAAAUAUAUUUAUACUUACAUACAUAUUAACUAGCUAAUUAAGUACUGUAGUAUUGUGAAUUAUGAGUUAUGCUGACGGUUUAAUCAAAAUAUUAACCUAGCUAACUGCAUAAAUAAUAUAACGCAGGUGGUGUGACCUCAAUGCCUUCGUUUUUGAAGAGUUUUUCCCAUCGGUGUACGAGAAGCAACAAGUAAACUCGUCAGCGAAUCAGUACUGUCAAUAUAACAGCGAGUCGUUGACUUUGUUCACGUCUUCGCUAUACUUGGCUGCUUUGAUAGCAUCGCUUGUAGCAUCAUCGGUGACAAGGAAAUUCGGAAGAAAGUGGUCCAUGUUAUUCGGUGGGGUUCUGUUUCUUGCUGGUACAUUAAUCAAUGGCUUGGCCCAAGACGUUUGGAUGCUUAUUGUUGGCCGUCUUUUGCUCGGUUUCGGUAUCGGCUUCGCUAAUCAGUCUGUGCCACUCUACCUCUCUGAGAUGGCCCUCUAAAUACAGAGGAGCCUUGAACAUUGGGUUUCAAUUGUCAAUCACCGUUGGAAUUUUAGUGGCCAACCUGUUGAAUUUUUUCUUUGCUAAGAUUAAGGGUGGCUGGGGAUGGCGUUUGAGCUUAGGUGGUGCCAUGGUCCCUGCCCUUAUCAUCACCGUCGGUUCAGUUUUCCUCCCGGACACACCAAAUUCAAUGAUUGAACGCGGCCAGCACGAUGAAGCCAGAAAGCAACUUAGAAAAGUUCGCGGUGUUAAUGAUGUUGACGGAGAAUUUAAUGAUCUUGUUGCAGCCAGUGAAGCAUCCAAGCAAGUUGAACAUCCUUGGAGGAAUUUGUUGAGAAGGAAAUAUAGGCCUCACCUUACCAUGGCUGUUCUGAUUCCCUUCUUCCAGUAAUUCACUGGCAUUAAUGUUAUCAUGUUUUACGCUCCUAUUUUGUUCGACACAAUUGGUUUCGGCAAUGAUGCAUCACUCAUGUCCGCUGUGAUCACCGGUCUUGUCAAUGUUUCCGCAACAUUCGUAUCAAUUUGUACUGUCGACAAGUGGGGAAGAAGACGUCUUUUCCUUGAAGGUGGUGCUCAAAUGUUAAUCUGCCAGGCCGUUGUUGCUGCUUGCAUCGGUUAUAAAUUUGGAGUUGAUGGGAAUCCUGGAGAGUUGCCUGUUGAUGCUUAAAUCUGCUCGCCUUUAGACCGACCAGAUUCUUUCACCAACGUUUGUGUUAUCUACUGUUGCUCGUUCACUGGGAUUGGAAUCGUCCUUCUUUCUCACAAUAGACCUGCGCUCACCAAAAACGGAUCAGAGACGCCGGUGGUUUUGCCGGCGUAAACCCUCCGAUGCUUAAGUUAGCUCAAGGUGUUUACGGGAAAACAGUGCAAUUUAGAUCUCAAAAUGGUUUCUAAAUUAUUCGGAGUUUAUAAGAAAAUAGCCUGAUUUCAAUUUGGCAGCGUUUCCCCUCUCUCAAUUUUUCCAUCCCCUUCUUCAUCGAUUUCUUCUUCUUUUAUAGCCGAUGUCCCCACGUUCCCGCUUGCCCUUCAUCCCACCUUUUUUGGGUAGUGGUAGCCUCUCAUGGGGCUCUAACUGCUGCAUUAUGGGCAAACGUGGGAUCUCGCGUCUCCCGCAACGGUUCUGGGAAAGCACAACUACCGUGAUUCUGUGAGAUCGUGUUUCCGCUUUUCGGGGGACGGGUACCGGCUCGGUAUGUGGCUCUGGUCAGUAUUCGUCUCUGAUCGACUCAUGUUACCCCUGUUCUGCUCGUACCAUUUGGCUGAGGUGAUUCAUGCCGGGGUGGAAGUAGUAUCCUGGCCGACCUGGUGCUUUUAUUUGCUUAACACCAGUCCCCCAGUUUCUGGUCUUGUGAGUGAAAUGAGUCAAGAGUAGAAACUGAUAGUCGACUCUUACCAAUCCGGGGGUUUCUCCUCUGGUCUUCUGUCUACCGGGACGAACCUGAGCAAUUCAUUUUUCUUCGGGUGAGAUUUUGAUCUGGGCGUGGGCCUAAAUGAGCAUGUCCACUGCGCACCUGGGCUUGCAUCUAGCCCGGCCUCUUGUAACGGUUGGUGACAUGGCAUCUCCCGAUUCUUCGCAUUUGAAAUUUGAAACGACGGGCUAUCUGUCCUCGAUGUACGGUGAGUGAGCUGGCGUCCCCAUCACUUAAAUGCUUCCAUUUCCCCCCUUUUCGUUUUAAAUCCCUAGACUGGAGUCUUCACCAUCUUGUUACUCGUUUCUCCACCGUUAACCAAAUUUUCUCUGGACUUUGCUCACACUUCCAGCGUCCGGAGUAUCCAUUUGCUGGGUGUUUUCUCUGUCGCGGCGGCUCUAUCAGUGUCAGUCUAUUCCAGGUAUAGCCUUUAACAUUUUCUUCGGCUGUUGUUGAUUGGGUUCUGUGUUGCCCCUUUGUGUCCAUAUACUCGAGUUUUCUCUGUCUUCUUUUGGGAUUCCGGUAUGUCAAAUCGGAAGAGGAAGUUAAUUGUUGAUGAGGGUGAUGACGAAUCAGGGGAUUCAGGCCUCAACGUGCCAAUACCCACCGAUUUUUUAGGUCCCUCCAGUAGUGUAGGUCCUCCUCAUGGUAGGGAUACCCUUGAGUACCCACGCCCCCUGGUUGUCUCUCCCUCUCCCGAAUUAAAGCUUGUAGGAAAUAGGGGUGGACCUGCGUCGGGCUCUGGUGAGAACCACAGCUUUGGUGGGGUUGGGAUCCCUGAAGGAGUUGGUGAUGGUAAGGGGAGCAGUUCCGGACCGAGCAGACCUGCUCAGAAAAGGAACCUAGGCCAUAGGGUGGAGGCUGAUUCCUACCCUAUUGAUUUCAUGGCUUGUGCCACCACCCCCACCGAUCUAUUUAAACUUAGGAAUCUCUACAACAUCCCCAACGAGGUUCUUCUUGUAGUUCCUGGAAAAGGUGAUGUCCCUAGUCGGCCUCCGAAAUGGUAUGUGACGAUGCACUUGGAGAGUUUCAGACUAGGAGCUCGGCUACCCCUUCAACCUUACUUUGCCAAGAUACUGGGCGGUAUGCACCUGGCCCCAGGUCAGCUAUACCCAAAUGGGUGGAGGGUUCUCUCGGCAAUGUUUGUGUUGUGGGAGAGGUGCGGGUCGGAGGAGCCUUCUCUUGUUGAAGUGAAACAUCUGUACCAGCUGCGGAGUAGCCCGAAGGAGGCAGGCUGGUACUAUUUCAUGUCCAGUUCCGCAAAGAGGAAACCGAUCACUGGGUUUCCAUCUUCAUGUAAAAAUUGGAAGAACAAAUUCUUCUUUGCUGGAGGGAACUGGUGUCCAGCGGUUCAGUCGCUUGGUGGGGACAUUUAUCUUCCCACCCAUUUUGUCACUCCAGGUCGUUCAUUUUUGCCUAUAUUCUUUCUCAAAUUGCCACUCAUUGGGUUCUUUAACCUUGUUUGUUUUUUCAGAAUCGUGGGGUUUGGUGAAGGAUCUUGAAGACCGACCUUUGCUUCAGGUGGAAACUGCUCUGUUGAACGCGUCUACUUGCCAAGACCUCCUGUCGCCAACAAACUUGGUCGGUUCCCGCUUAGUAGAUAUUGCCACUGGAAUGGAUAACAAGAUCCUCAGCGCGUUGAGCAGAAAGCGUGGUCGGGCUCCGAGUAGCUCCAGCAACCCUCCUCCUCCUCCAAAGAAACCCAUCGUCGGUCCUUCCAAGGCGCCAGUUCCUGCUCUGCCCCCUCCUCCACCUCGAAAGAGUGGUGGGGAUAAAACCUCCGACAAGAGUCCUGAGGUCAGCUUGCAGUCUGGGGACCGCUCUUCUCCUCUUCCAUCUCGGGAUCAAGGUGACUACCUGAGCCCAUAUCAGAAGGAUUACAGAAAAUCGGUUGGGCCCAAGAUGGUGAAGGACAUCGAGAGCAUGAGCCUCUCCGAGUUAGCUGUUUCUGUUCAAAGAGUCUCCUUCAGGCUGGCCACAAUGGUCUCGUGCUACAAGACCGGGUCCGCGCGUCAUGAGAGGAAGCUCCAAGCUGAUAACCAGGAGUUGAAAAAGAAAGUCGAAUCUGCUGACCGUUCCAAGGAGAAACUGGCCGAGCUGAACAAGCAGCUUACGGAGCUUGAGGAGAAAGUUGCUGUUGCUGAGUCCACUUCCUCCAAGCUUGAGGAUGAGUUGGGUGAUCUGAAGUCCGAUCUUCAGGCUACCCAAAGUGAAAGGGAUACUCUGAGGGUCGCCCUUGAAGGAGAGAUCAAAUCCCUGAAGGACCAGCUGGCUGAGGAGAAAAGCAAAUCAGCUGACGUGGAUGAUCGGCUGGAUGCCGAGUAUGACUCCGGGGUUGCUUUCAGCUAUAAGUGCAUCAUGUCUGUGCUUAAGGAAGAAUAUCACGAGCUCGACAUGAGCAAGCUGGAAUCUGGGGUGGAGAGGUAUAUGGCUGGGGCCGGCUAGGGAGAUAAGGAGCAGGUGGAGGUUCCUUUUGAUGAGGUGCGGGAGGAAGGAGCUGGUCAGUGUGUUUUUGAAGUGGGACAAGGGUACGCGCCUCCUCCUCCCGUUAUUGCUGAUCUUCCACCUCCCGAGAUAGCCGACGCUUCUCCUGCUGAGGCCGUUGACCUUCCUAAUCCUUAGGUCUAUUUUUGUAAAAAACUCUAGAUUGUUAUUCGCUUUGUAAACAUUUGAACAUUUAUAAAUUUUUAAAUGCUCUCAAUUGGCUUUCUUGUCUGGUUUUGCUCACGGGUUGCUUCUGCAAAACAACUUGGCAAUUUAUCUGAUUUUGCCUGUUGGUUUUUUAGUGCAUUGAGCAGGAAUAGGCAUCCGUUUGCCUUAGCGAAAUUUUCGCAAAAUUGCCUGCUGGUCUUCGAUGACCGAGCAGGAGCGGACACUUAUUUGCCUUAGUAGAAUUGUCGUAAAUUUAGCUGCUGUUUUUCGUUGACCGAGCAGAGGUAGGCACUUAGUCGAAUUUUCGUAGCUUUAGCUGCUGGUCUUUCGUUGACCGAGCAGAAGAAGGCACUGAUUUGCCUUUGUAGAAUUUCCGUAGCUUUAGCUGCUGGUCUUUCGUUGACCGAGUAGAAGUAGGCACUUGCCUUAAUCGAAUUUUCGUAGCUUUAGCUGCUGGUCUUUCAUUGACCGAGCAGAAGUAGGCACUGAUUUGCCUUUGUAGAAUUUCCGUAGCUUUAGCUGCUGGUCUUUCGUUGACCGAGCAGAAGUAGGCACUUGCCUUAGUCGAAUUUUCGUAGCUUUAGCUGCUGGUCUUUCGUUGACCGAGCAGAAAUAGGCACUUUGUUGCCUUAGUAGAAUUGUCGAAGCUUUAGCUGCUGGUCUUUCGGUGACCGAGCAGAAACAGGCACUUUAUUGCCUUAGUAGGAUUUUUUGCAGAAUUAGCUGCUGGUCUUUAGUGGACCGAGCAGAAGUUGGCACUUACUUGCCUUAGUAGAAUCUUCGUAGGUUUAGCUGCUGGUCUUUCGUUGACCGAGCAGAAGUAGGCACUUACUUGCCUUAGUAGAAACUUCGUAAAUUUAGCUGCUGGUCUUUCGUUGACCGAGCAGAAGUAGGCACUUGCCUAGGUAAAACUUUUAUUGAUUAGACUAGCAGGGGGAUUUCAUGCUGAAUUCAUCUUUAUUUGAAAUUUGAAAGCAUUACAAGAAUACUGGAUACAUACAUGUGCAGCAAAGCCAUGAUGCAGUUAACAUUGAUAUCUUGUCAAAAUGGAGAUUUAGUAGAGCACUUUGCUUACUGGAAAUACUUCUUCAAGUGUUCGGCGUUCCAUGACCUCUUCACUUCUCGUCCAUCUUGGUGUGCUAAUUUAUAGGCUCCUGGUCCAGUGGCUCGUAUCACCCGGUACGGGCCUUCCCACUUUGGGCCAAGAGCGCCAUGAUUAGGAUCCCUGGUGUUCUGGUUCACCUUCCUAAGUACCCAAUCUCCUGCUCGGAACUGCCUCACGCGCACGUUCUUGUUGUAAUAACGCAUGACCCUUUGUUGGCACUGGGCCACUUUCUGCACUGCCCCUUCCCUUUUCUCCUCCAGCAGGUCCAGACUUAAGCAAAUCUGCUCGUCAUUUUGCUCCUUAGUGAAAUAUUCCGUCCGAUGUGUUCUCACUCCAACCUCUGCUGGGAUUACCGCCUCAUGACCAAAGGCUAAAGCGAACAGUGUUUCUCCUGUGGUGGUUUUGUGAGUUGUCCUGUAGGCCCACAGUACUCCUGGUAGCUCGUCAACCUAAGCUCCCUUCUUCUCUCCCAAUCUAGUCUUUAGGAGCUUCUUUAUCACCUUGUUGGCUGCUUCCACUUGUCCGUUUGCCUGGGGGUGUGCGGGGGUGCAGAACUUCAGGUCCACCCCCAGGUUUCGGCAAAAUUCCCUGAAGUUGCCGUUGUCAAAUUGCCUCCCAUUGUCCGUGAUGAUGGCGUAGGGGAUCCCAUAUUUGCAGAUGAUAUUCUUCCAAAUAAAAUCUGUUGUCUUCCUCUCCGUGAUCUGGCUGAGGACUCCUACUUCCACCCACUUGGUGAAGUAGUCUAUUGCCACAAUUGCAUGUGUCGCCGCUCCUCGUCCCUUAGGCAAUGGACCAAUCAAGUCGAUUCCCCAUUGAGCGAAAGGCCAUGGGGAUGUCAUAGCCGUCAGCUUUUCCGGGGGUUGUGCAGGAACCUCGGAGAAGCUUUGGCAUGUUUUACAAUUCUUUGCCAUCCUUUUGGCAUCCUGGUGCAUGGUUGGCCAGAAGUAUCCUUGCCGGAGUGCCUUGAAGGCUAAAGUUCUUGCUCCCGAGCGAUUGCCGCAUAUUCCCUCGUGAAUCUCUCUCAGCACAUAAUCCGCCUCCUCAUCAUCCAAACAUCUCAAAAGGGGCAAGGUGAACCCUCGGCGGUACAGCACUCCAUCCAGUAGCGUAUACCUUGCUGCUCGGCAUUUUAAUUUUCUUGCUUGCCUUUUGUCCUAUGGUAAAACUCCAUCGCGGACAUAUGCGCGAAUCGGGUCCAUCCAGGAUUCUCCAGUACUUACUCUCAUCACCUCUGCUUCUUCCUCAAUACUUGGUGAGGUCCUUACCUCUAGUGGAACUGACUUCGGUAACUUUGGAUCUGCAAUGGCUGCCAUCCUAGCCAGCAUAUCUGCUCGGAAAUUCUCAUUCCGGGAUAUCUGCUUUACCUCCACUGCUUGGAAAAGCCCAACCAUCUGCUUCGCCUUCUUUAAAUAAAGACCCAUCUUCUCUCCCCUUGCUUGGAACUGAUCAUUGAGCUGAUUACACACCAGUUGGGAAUCUGCUCGAAUUUCUACCCUCUCUGCUCUUAGAGCGUGUGCAAGUCCGAGCCCGGUGAUAAAGGCCUCAUAUUCAGCUUGGUUGUUUGUGAGCUGAAAGUCAAACUUCACUGCAUACGUUAUUUCGGUUCCUUCUAGGCUCUGUAUUACAACUCCUGCUCCGGAUCCUUGCUCACUACAUGAUCCGUCAACCAUUACCAACCACAACCCCUCUGGUUUCUCCUGCUCUGCUGCUUGCUCCUCCCGAAUUUCUUUCCCUGUAUCGGCUCGGUCAACCAUAAAUUCAGCCAGAGCUUGGGCCUUGAUUGCUCCUCGGGGCCUGUAAGAGAGGUCGAAUUCACUUAGCUCUACGGACCAUUUUACUAGUCGACCCGAUGCAUCUGGUUUUUGAAGUGUUUGCCGAAGGGGCUGGUCGGUCAUAACAAUAACCUGAUGGGCCUGAAAAUAUGGUCGAAGUUUUCGUGCUGCCGUUAUUAGAGCUAGCGCCCACUUCUCCANNNNNNNNNNNNNNNNNNNNNNNNNNNNNNNNNNNNNNNNNNNNNNNNNNNNNNNNNNNNNNNNNNNNNNNNNNNNNNNNNNNNNNNNNNNNNNNNNNNNNNNNNNNNNNNNNNNNNNNNNNNNNNNNNNNNNNNNNNNNNNNNNNNNNNNNNNNNNNNNNNNNNNNNNNNNNNNNNNNNNNNNNNNNNNNNNNNNNNNNNNNNNNNNNNNNNNNNNNNNNNNNNNNNNNNNNNNNNNNNNNNNNNNNNNNNNNNNNNNNNNNNNNNNNNNNNNNNNNNNNNNNNNNNNNNNNNNNNNNNNNNNNNNNNNNNNNNNNNNNNNNNNNNNNNNNNNNNNNNNNNNNNNNNNNNNNNNNNNNNNNNNNNNNNNNNNNNNNNNNNNNNNNNNNNNNNNNNNNNNNNNNNNNNNNNNNNNNNNNNNNNNNNNNNNNNNNNNNNNNNNNNNNNNNNNNNNNNNNNNNNNNNNNNNNNNNNNNNNNNNNNNNNNNNNNNNNNNNNNNNNNNNNAGAUGCUUCACAUGAUCCGUCGUCUCUUUGGACUUUGUAAUCAUAUCAUCCACAUAUACCUCCAUAGUGUAUCCAAUCAACGGUUUGAAGAUCUUGUUUACCAACCUUUGAUAGGUGGCUCCUGCAUUUUUUAGGCCGAAAGGCAUUACCCUGUAACAAAACAAACCCAUGUUAGUUAUAAAGGCAGUGCUUUCCUCAUCCUGCUCGUCCAUGGGUAUCUGGUUGUAUCCAGAAAAGGCAUCCAUGAAACUGAGCAGACUGUGACCUGCUGUUGAGUCCACCAGCUGAUCUAUUUUGGGUAGGGGAAAACUGUCCUUUGGGCAUGCCUUAUUGAGGUCCGUGAAGUCCACACACAUUCUCCACUUCCCGUUGGCCUUUUUUACCAGGACUACAUUUGAAAUCCAUUCUGGGUACUUGGCUUCCCUUAUAAAUCCUGCUUUCAACAACUUCUCCACCUCGGCGUUUAUGGCCUCGUACCUUUCCUGGUUGCAGCAUCUCCUCUUCUGUCUCACCGGCCUUGCCCCCUUCUUGAUUGCCAACUUGUGGCAAGCUACCCCGCGAUCAAUUCCGGGCAUAUCUUCAUGAGACCAGGCGAAUAUAUCCGCAUGAGACUGUAGGCAAUUUACCAGCUCGCCUUUUACUGCCCCAAUCAAUCCUGACCCGAUCUUCACUACUCUGCUCGGGUUGCUUUUGCUUAUCGCAACUUCCUCCAGUUUCUCAACAGGCUCUUGGCGGCCCUUUUUAGACUCUCCUCGAUUAUCUAGAGAAGUAACCUGUAGUGUCUCCUUGGCCGCCGUAGCUUAACAACUCCUUGCCACCCUCUGGUCGCCUUUUACUACGCCAACCACCCCAUUUAUUCUGUAUUUCAGCGCCAAGUAAUGCGUGGAUACAACGCAUUGGCUUAUCCUCAUGAAUGGUCUCCCCAGUAUCAUCUGGUAAGGGCUUCUUUCCUCUACCACGACGAAGUCCAGCAUCAUCGUUCUUUCAAACGGCUUUGUCCCCACAAUAAUCGGGAGUUCAAUGAUCCCCAAGGGAGUUAACUGUCCCCCUCCAAAUCCUUUUAAGGAAGUAUUUGUCCGUUCCAGCUUUAAAUCUGAAAUCCCCAUAUCAUCUAGGGCUGACUUAAAUAGAAUGUCAACUGAACUGCCCGUGUCCACCAGUAUUCGCCGCAAUUCUGUGCUAGCCACCGAUGCUUUAAUUACUAGUGCAUCCUCAUGAGGAUAUAAAAUACCCUCUUCAUCCUCAUCUGUCCACAUAAUGGGAACUUGUCGCGCUUUUGCCUUCUUGGUUGCUGGCAAAUUGAAAAGCACUUCUUUGCUAGUCAGGGCGUAUCUCCCAUAGUUCUUCCGUGCCCUGUUCGAAUCUCCGGCCAAUGUUGGUCCUCCUGCUAUCACACGGAUAGUCGGCUGUUCACGUUCCAGAUCCCUCUCAACUCCCUCAUCCCGUGUGUACUGUGAUUCCAUGACAGGGGAUAUUCCAUCUACAUACUCGUCCAAGUAUCGGUUCCUCACUAAAUCCUCCACCUGAAUCUUCAGGUCACGACAUUGGCUGAUAGUGUGACCGUGAGUGUCGUGGAACUUGCAUAAUCGGCUCUUAUCCCGUCGGUGAGUCGGUUUUAUUAUUGGGGCUGGAGGGUACAACAGGCCUCGUCCCUCGAUCCUCUCAUACAAUUCCUCCAUGGAGAUCUUUAGCGGAGUGUAUUGUCUAUAUGCCAAGCUCUGGUCUACCAGCUGAACUGCUCGGCUAUCAUGAACGUCACCUCGGGAUGGCAUAGUCGCUGACUGAUCUGGUCGUCUAGCCCUGGAACUGGUUACGUGUAAUGCUCUGGGAGUGUUAUGAUAGCGGUCGGCAGCCAUCUGCCGGAAUUCUCGCUGCCGAUCCGGGAAUGGGGGACGUGGAGGUUGAGCCCGGUUGUGCUGGAACUGUUGUGAUCUCGGAGUUAUGGGGUAAGGGCGGGAUCGAGCUGAUGUUCCGCCCCUUACUGAGGGUUCCCCAGCUCGCUUUCCCGACCCGCUCCCAUUUGGAGUUCUCAUUUCCUUUCGUCUCAGCUCCUCCAGCUAUUCACUCUUUAUCUUUGCCGAUUUUUCUUCUUCGAUUUCGAUAUCUCUCUUUGCCUGCUCAUAUCCUGCUGAAUAAUUCUGCACCAGGGGGCUUCUCAGGUUAUACCAUAGCCGGCCUAUCCUCACACCCUCCUUUAAACCCCUCAACACCUGCGGGUGAUUGAAAGCUCCCAAAUCAAGUACGGCUCGGUGGUAUCGCUUUACAAAAUCCCGUAGGGACUCGUGCUCCUCCUGUUUCAUCCCCAUCAGUUCCAUCAUGUCGUCCUCUAGGGCUACUGCCCCUCGGAACUGCUCGGCCAACUCCUGGCACAUCUGCUCAUACCCCUUUAUACUUCCUCCGGGCAGCUUGCGGUACCAUUCUCGAGCUCGUCCCUCUAGUGUCAACGGGAACGCCCUGCAUCUCUGAGCUGAUGUCAGCCCCUGCACACCCGUCAUAUCGUUGAAACGCUCAAUGUACACCAGUUGGUCACUUCGCCCGGAGUAUUUGAGGUUGGGGAAGCGGAAAUCUCUUGGGAUUAUGAUACCCAUGAUCUCGAUUGAUAACAGAGAUUCUUCAUCUAACAUUAUCCUCCAGCUCGGGGGCUUUCUCUUGCCUUGUAUCUCCUCUAUCACCUGCGCCAACCUGCGCACCUCCCCCUCCAAUUCUAUAGCACGGCUAGGAUCACGCGCAGCUAUCUGGUCUCGCUUCUGCUCAGCGUUCUGCAACCGCUGUCUGAGCUCUCCUUCAUCAACACUGGCACCUCGGCCAGUAGUUUCCAGUACCCAUCCGGGGCGAGUUUGGUCUCUCCCUUCAUCCCCGUGUUCUCCUGGGACCCGGCCAGUACUUCUGUGGGGAUGCACCCCAUUAGGUUGGUCUGCGGGCGGAGGAAUGUCCUCGACUCUACGUCUCCGGAGGCUGGGUUCUGCUCCGACUUCAUCUCUUCCCACGGGGGUUUCACAAUCCCUUCUCCGCUCAUCCCUCAGCUCAAACAAUAUGGACGUGAGAGUCUCCAUUUGUUUCUCCAUCCGCUCCAGUCUGUCUUGCAUCAUCCUCUCUCGGGCUUCAUUCGCAAUUUCCCGGAGAGUGAUUGUCUCCCCAGCCUCGUUAUCCUCCCCAAAAGCGUCCUUUCUCGUCACAUCCAUGUCCAACCGUUCGCUAUUUCUCCGGUACUUCCUAAUUCGGUGGUAGCUUUUUAUCCAGCUCCCCACAGACGGCGCCAAAAUGUUGAUGCUUAAAUCUGCUCGCCUUUAGACCGACCAGAUUCUUUCACCAACGUUUGUGUUAUCUACUGUUGCUCGUUCACUGGGAUUGGAAUCGUCCUUCUUUCUCACAAUAGACCUGCGCUCACCAAAAACGGAUCAGAGACGCCGGUGGUUUUGCCGGCGUAAACCCUCCGAUGCUUAAGUUAGCUCAAGGUGUUUACGGGAAAACAGUGCAAUUUAGAUCUCAAAAUGGUUUCUAAAUUAUUCGGAGUUUAUAAGAAAAUAGCCUGGUUUCAAUUUGGCAGCGUUUCCCCUCUCUCAAUUUUUCCAUCCCCUUCUUCAUCGAUUUCUUCUUCUUUUAUAGCCGAUGUCCCCACGUUCCCGCUUGCCCUUCAUCCCACCUUUUUCGGGUAGUGGUAGCCUCUCAUGGGGCUCUAACUGCUGCAUUAUGGGCAAACGUGGGAUCUCGCGUCUCCCGCAACGGUUCUGGGAAAGCACAACUACCGUGAUUCUGUGAGAUCGUGUUUCCGCUUUUCGGGGGACGGGUACCGGCUCGGUAUGUGGCUCUGGUCAGUAUUCGUCUCUGAUCGACUCAUGUUACCCCUGUUCUGCUCGUACCAUUUGGCUGAGGUGAUUCAUGCCGGGGUGGAAGUAGUAUCCUGGCCGACCUGGUGCUUUUAUUUGCUUAACAUUGCCCAAGUGGUAUGCCUUUGUGGUCGUAAUUUUCAUUUGCAUAUACGUUGCCGCGUUUGCCUGGUCUUGGGGUCCUCUUGGAUGGUUAGUGCGCAGUGAAAUUUUCCCACUCGAAAUCCGGUCAGCAGCACAAAGCGUGAAUGUUUCUGUGAACAUGGCAUUCACAUUUUUGGUUGCACAAGUAUUCUUAAACAUGCUUUGCCAUCUCAAGUUUGGCCUGUUCAUUUUCUUCGCAUUCUUCGUCGUGCUGAUGACCAUUUUUAUCCACUUCUUCUUGCCCGAGACUAAAGGAAUUCCAAUCGAAGAAAUGGGUCAAGUGUGGAAGAAUCAUUGGUUCUGGUCCCGUUAUGUUGGCCAAGAUGAUUUCCUCGCCAAUGGAGGCCUAGAGAUGCACAAAGAAGAAACUGAUGUCAACAAUGUCUGAUCUGCAUGCUCAACUCCAUCCGGAUUUUUGUUUAGUUUCUAUUUUUAUUUUUUAUAUUUUUUAACAGUAAGUAGUAGUAGUACAGUUAUUCUGUCGGUUUAUUAUUCUAGCCUUAUCAAUGCCUUUUCUAUUCGACUUUAGUAGUGUUUAUUACAAUUUCUAAAGAAAUUAAUUUCAUGUAAGUUUUUACUUUAAUCAUUUUCCUUGUUUGGGUUCUCUGUUUUUCCUUUUUUUUUUUUUUUUUCAUCAGAAAUCGUCACUCUUACAAUUUGGACCAAGAAAUUCUUCACACAGGAAUCUGAAGAAAAAUUAACAAGGAUUGAAAAUUUUGACUUAUUGUUUAUCUUUUUUUUUUCUUUUCUCUUUUCCGUCUUCUCUUCUCAUUAAACAGACAUUAAGGCAAAAUUAAUAAAUUAUUUUAUUAUUGGUCUUAUCGUGAGUAGAAAAUCAUUGGUGCAAAUUCAAUUAUUUAGAUCAACAGAAAUUUUGGGAUAUGAAUCAAUGAGAAAAUUUUAAGUAUUCCUAAAAUAUUAUUCCUAUUUUAUCGUGAGUAGAAUAUGACCACCUUAUAUUAACUCAAGCUUUUUAUUUAAAAUUUUAACAUAAAUUCUCAUCUAUAAACUUUGUGGCAAAAUCUUAAGUUGAAAUAGGGAGAAAAAAAUCUAAAGAAUGUAUAAAAUUUGUAGAAAGAAAAGCCGCACGUGAGAUAUGUCAAAAUCAAAAUUCAUCAAUACAUCAAAUUUCAUAUACAUGGCAACUUAAACUCGCACAGUUCAAUGUCAAAAUUUAACUUUUAUCAAAAAGUAACGUUGCAUCCUCAUUUUACCUUUAACUCUAAGAGGUGUUGCAAUGGCCAAAGUAGCCAGUCAAUCUUUCUUUUGACGUUAUUUAAUCAUUCUGUACAGCAGAACACCCAUCAACUACUCUCAUCCUGGCCAUAGCUGCCUGCAUUGAGGAGUUGCUAAAGUUUAACAAUGAAAAAUAAAGCAACGAAAAAAUAAAUUUAACUUGAAUUAAUCAAGAACCUGUUUUUUCCAGUUUGUGAAAGUUGUAGCAAGAGAAAGAAGGGUGGACUGCACAACAGAGCCAGCCACUAUUCCGAUCCAAAGUCCCUUUCCUCUUAAAUGUGCUACAAAACCCAACACGGCACCCACUGGCAACCCAACUAAAUAAAAUGCCCCAAGGUUUAUGUACACCCUAUAUGCUGCCAUCCACACCCUUUCGCAACCCCUAUUGCAAACGUAGAAUCCACCUUUAUUAAGAAAUGAAAAUUUGAACCGCAUUUGAAUCCCAGAUGUUUUGUGGUUUGUGUAUUCAAGAGAUAAUUACCAACUGAUCUAGUCAACACCAACCUCUUGGAUGUAUACUUUAUAUGUGUGUGUCUAUAUAUAUAUAUAUAUAUAUAUAUAUAUAUAGCAUGUAUCUAUUUAACUAUUACGACAUUUACCAAAUGAUAUAUAAGUCAACAGUGACUCUUCAGUCUCCCAUAUUAUUAUCCAACAAAGACUUUAAUUGAAAGAAGUGUAAUUAGAAAGCAACUACUAACCAGAAAAAACAGCUUGUAAGCUGUCUGUAAUAACUGAGAGACAAAUCAGAGGAGCCAUAACAACAACAUAAUGCACAACUUGGUUGUCUUUGGUGUAAGCGUAACCCAAAAAAUAGCGGCAGCAGAAGAGGAUCGUGCCGACUAUCACUGCCUCUACCACAGCAUAACUUGUUGCAGCCCAUACAGCCACUCUAGCUGCUUGCAGAUUCCCAGCUCCAAGCUCAUUUGAAACUCGAGUACUAUACAUGACAUAUAUAUUAACAUGCACAUAGUCAAAUGCUAGCCUGCUCCAUUUGUAUUAUUUUAAAAAAAAUGCAAAUCACAGGGAGCAACCAAAAGCAAGAAAAAAAAAAGACCUUGCAGCUACUCCAAAAGCAUAUGGUAUUGUGAAGUGCAAUGUUGAAAUUGUAAGGCUGAUCAUAAAACAACAACGAUUAGAAGCAUAUACAGUUUAAUUCUAGGACAAUUUAUAAGUCAAAAUUAAAUAGUUAUAACUAAAAUAGGAGCUAAUUACCAAAUUGAAAGUACUGAAGUCUCCAGCUUGGGAUUCGGUAAAAGGCCGGAUAACAAAAUUAAGAUCUCCAUCGACCACCAUUUUAGACUAAUUAAUCACCAUAAUCGAUCACAAUAAGAGAGAGACUUUUGAGAUUAAAAGAGAAGAAACAACACAAAAAGCAAAAUUACCAUUCUAAGAGAUAAGAGGAAUAAUUACCAAACCAUUAUGGCAGAAGGUAUAGCCAAGCGAAAGAACUGUCCAAUGGCUAGUAAAGAUUCUUUAGAAACCGGCGCGCGAGUUUUCUCACAAGCUGAGGAGUACAUCAUGUACAAUCCGAGCAGUAUCACAUUCAACCAAGUUGAUAGACUGAAGGCUAGAGCUGCACCCAUGCUUCCUAAUUCUAGUUUGAACACAAGAGUCCAGCACGCAGGUAUAUGAAAACAUAGAAUUAGAAAAGAACUUGCAAACAUGGGAAGAAUCAAGCUCUGAGUCUGAAAGUAUCGGGUUAGUGGUUUCAGGAUUGCACUCCCGAAUAAUGCAGGGAUUAGCCACAUUGAAUACUUGCGUGCUUCGUGGGAGAUUACAGGAUCUUGGCCUAUUAGAGGUAACAAUUUGUCCAUAAAAAUCCACAACAGGCAAACUAGAGGGCAAACAAGAAUCAACGAAAUUAUGGCAGUGUAAGUAUGAACUCCAAGCUUCCGAAAUUGUGCUGCUCCAUAAGCUUGCCCACAUAGAGUUUCCAAUCCACCAGCCAUUCCUGACUGCUUGGCAAGUCCAAAUUAAAUUCAAUCAUUAAUCAUCAAAAUUAUCUCUAGGAUUAAUUAAACCUGAAGAUGAAGGUAAUGUGAGUAGAGAGCAGCAAACUUACUAGAAGACUAAAGCCGGUAACAUUUGUGAGAGAGGUGGCAAUGGCUACACUAGACAGGGCAAGCUGGCUUAGAUGUCCCACCAUUACCGUUGACACAACUUGCAGAAGGUACUGCAACACAGAGACUGCCACCAUUGGUGCCGCGAUACGGCCAGUCUUCUUCAGCUCUUCCAUAAAUCCACCCCAUGUAAUUGCCCAUCUCUUCUCCUGGCUCUCUCCAACUUCCAUAUCCAUGCAAAAUUGAUAAAUGAUAAUAAUGAUGGUAUCUUAGUUUGCUUUGCCACUAUUAAUAAAAAGAGCCAAUCCAAAGAAACACGAAGUUUGUAUGCUGUCCUCUGUUUUGGCUUUACUUGAGAAUUCAAUAUUAACGAUUUUAUGUUUUGACUGUUCAAAAGAGCAUGCCGAGAGGUUCAAAUUAGUGGACUCUAAUUCCCAACUUUCUGUUGUUUAUAAUCAUUAUUAUACAUUCCCCACGAGCACGGCACAGACAUGAGUAAUGCGGCAAGGGUGCGUUUCGCACACUGCAUUGUAUUAUGUUGUAUUGCAUUAUUUUAAUAUUGGUGUAUUAUAUUAUGCUGUAUUGUAUUAGCAUUGUAUUAUAAUAAUGUUAUAUAAUGUUUGGUGUUAUACUGUACUGUAUUAUUUUUUUAAUUAAUUUAAAUUAAAUAUUAUAUUAUAUUAAUGUUUUAUAUUAUAUUAAUAUAUUUAAAUUGCAUUAAUAUUUUAUGUUAUUAUUUAUAUUAUUAUUAAUUUUAAAUUAAUAUUAUUCAAAUUUAUUCAUAUUUAAAUAUUUUUAUUAGUUAUAAUAAGUUAUAAAUUUAUUAAUAAAUUAUAAUGUAAAAAUAAAAAAUAUACUAUUAUUGAAUGAUAAAUUAUUAAUUUAUUAAUUAUAUUAAUAAUUAUAAUGUAAAAAUAAAUAAAAUAAAAAUAUUAUAUUAAAUUAAAAACCAUAUUUAUUUAUUAUUUUAAUAUUAUAAUAAUAAUAAAGUGAAAAGCAAAAUAAAAUUAAAAAAAAAAAAACAAAGCUAAUGCGUCAGUUGACGCAUUAGCCUCCCACCCCAAUCCCUUGCAAUUUUAUUCCAAACAUAGGUUUGGUAUUAUGUUAAUGUAAACAGUAUUAUAAUAUCCCCUUAAUACUAUAAUCAAACACACCCUAAGAUAAUUGCUGGUGUUUAAUCGGUCAGAUUUUUCAUCUUUUCUCGAUCUUUUGAAAAAUCAUAAUAAUGAUUAUAAUAGAUCCCCAGACACGUAGAUGGGAUUGAGAUUUUGUCUGAUAUGGCUUGAUUUGAAGUAUUUUUUUAUAUCUGCAAUUCUGCAUAUAGUAAGUACAAUCAUAUCUUCUGAGUGAUAGACUUCAUUUUUGGCCGUUCUGAACAAAAACUAUGUUCAAUGACAGUACUGAACUCUAAAUUUCAGUGGAAUAUAAUAAAGGAGAGGAAUAAAAAAGCAUAUUGCAAAUUGGAUGUACUCUCUCACAUCUGAAUCAUUUAAUAAUUGCUUUUGGAAGCACAUUUUUGACUAGUUACUACAUAAUAUCAGCUUAGAAGAAACAGAUGCGAUUCCCCUAGUGGCUUUCAAAUUGCAAUCAGUUGUACGCGAGCGAUUCCUUAACAGAUGAGAAGAAAGAAAAAUGGCAAAAAAGGAAAAAAAACAAUUCUGAUGUUUUCAGGAGUCAGUAGAUGCUGUUGAAAUACAUAUUUUUCACUGUCCUCCCCUUAACUAUGUUAGACUUUAUGUCUAAAUUCGCACUUGUCUCCCAAGAUUUUGAUGGACUGUUAACAUGGAUGACUAAAUGAAUAAAAAUACAUAGACGCCCCUGAUUUGAAGCAAAAUCACCAUGCCAGGAAACAAAACAGCUCGUGUAUAAAGAGAUGACAGUGUUAAUUUCGACAAAAAGAAACUGUGGGUUGGACAAAAUCCAUGAGAGGAUAGUGAAAAAUAUAUAUUUUGAUAUAAUGUAUAUAGUAUAUCAUUUCAAAACUCAAAAGUCGUUUCGUUCUUUAAAAAAAUUCCACUGCUUUAAAAUUAAAAAUCACAUUUAUAAUUAAUUUUUUUAUCAAGUUCUAAAUCCUUUUAUUUUGUCAACAUCCUAAAAUUAUAAUAAGAAUUAACUAUGCUUUGAUUGAUAAAACUAAUGGGGAUUUCGUUCUUAUUUGAUAAAAUCAAUAGUCAUUUCGUUCUUAUUUAAUGUGUUUCCAACUUGUGAGCAAUGGGAGGUAGAAAGCAAACUUGUCCACUUUCAAUUCCCAAACUCAUAAGAAUCAGACCUUUUUUUUUUCAAAUGAUCAAAUAAAUACAAUUGGCUACUUUGACAGACAGGAACAAUACAAGUGUCUUAACAUGUCGAUCAAAUGGCCAAAAGUAAGACGCAAUCCCUAAGUCUAACUUACAAUUGCUAAAAAUAACGUAAAAAUGGACCAGUAUCAUCAUUUUACCUCGUCUUUAAUGGUUGUCAGUUACACUAAAUAUAUUUUAAGGAGACAAUAAUAAUAAUAAUAAUAAUAAUAACAAUUUGAGUAGAAAUUAUCACGAACAUAUUCCUGCAUAUCUUAACAUCUUCAAAGAUAUGUGACUUAUUGAUGUGACGCUCCAUUUUAUCAAACAGUUGCAUCAGAAAAUUCUGAAGGGACUACAAAUGCCUUUUGAUGCAUAGAAGAUUUACAUUACUGACAAACCAAGGACAAAGCAGAAAGAAGCAAGUUUCGAUUUGUUUCUCAGCCAAAAAUCAAGUUCUUCCAUUAUCUUCUGUCUACUUCUUCCCCUAUUAACUCCAAUUUUUGCUCAGACCCUUGGUUUUGGAAUUGGGCAAGUAAUUGGAGGAGUCAAAGAGAAAGAAAGUAAACAAAAUAUAAAUAUAUAUAUCAGCAACUCCCUAGAUCUAAUCUGCUUCUGGCUCAGUUAGGUGAUCAGUCAUUAAGAUCUAUUGCCUCUCCACCUUCUUACUAGUACUCCCAGCCCUUUAGAGCAAAUUAUUAAACCAACCCUCGGAAAGUUCAGACACAUCCUUUGUAUUCCAACUGUGCAAGUGUAAUGUUAACCUAAGGUUCUCUUUCUUUUCAUUUGUAUGCUUGAAGAAAAAUCAACAAGAAAAUGCAAUACCAGCAGGUAUUAUUUGUAAUUCAUAUGGAAAUUAUCAUUAACAUAUGCCUACAUAUCGAAAUCUUCAAAAGGUUGUCAGAGUUUAUCCGCAGCAAUCCAAUCUAUUUUAUCAAAGACAGAAAAACUUAUGUUCAAGCAGAACAAUCAAAAGGGAAAGUAAAUGCCCGAAUUUUGAGCUAGCACCAAUAAAUUGAAGAUGUACAUUAUUGACAAGCCUAGAACAAUAUCAGCUUGAAAAGAAGCAGAUAAAAGCACAUAUUUAGACAAGAGAAACUUACAAACUACCUCAGUUUUUGUGCUGCAGUUGGGACACCAGAUGAACUCAAGUUGGCCCUUUCUGAAUCGUUUGCUGCACGAAAGCCAGCUGUAAUAAAUGUUACUAUUGAUCCCUAUGCCAGUACAAACUACCUCAGUUUUUGUGCUGCAUCCUACCACUUUCUGCACCGGCAUAGGGUUCAAUAAUAACAUUUAUUAAAGCUGGCUUUCGUGCAGCAAACGAUUCAGAAAGGGCCGACUUGAGUUCAUCUGGUGUCCCAACUAAAUAUCCUUUUCCCCCAAAAGCUUCCAUGAGCUUAUGAUAAGCUGCACCAGGUACAAAAGAAGUAGGUGCAGGAUCAUCUUUGAAAGGCCCUGCAAUUUCUUCAGGGUUUCUGCGAUCUCCACCAUACACACCACCAUUAUUAAAAACUAUCACGACAACAGGCAACUGAUAUCGAACCAAUGUCUGCAAAAUCAGAAGAAACAGAGACCACAUUAGUCUCUUUUUCCUCUCCCACCUUUUUCCAUUUAUUGGAUGAGGAUAUGCUAUACGUAUGAAUCAACUUUGGACUUAGACAAAGUAAAAUUCAUUUAUUCCAUUAAUUGAUUAACAUUGACACACUAUCUUCUAAAAAUUCAUUUAUUCCAUUAAUCAAUCUUCUAACUACACAGAUAUGCAAACAUCCAAGUGCGAGCACAUCACAAGCACAAAUUCUCAUUUUUCAUUCAGAAGGAAAGUGAAAAAGAGGGGGGGAAAAUGGAAGGUAUCUACAAUAAAAAACCCUCAUCUAAGUCACACAUCAAUGAAGAAUGCAAUAGAAGAAAUCUUUCCACUAAAUACAGAAAGAUGCACCAAGAACUACCCUUCUGAAAGCAAGGCAGCAAUUACGCAAGUUCGGAUUAGCUAAAACUAAAUCCGACAGUGGCCAUAUAGCAUUUGAUAAUUACAAGACUACUCGUUCACUAGAAUAGAACCAGCAUCAAAAGAAACUCAAAUAUCCAAAUCGUAAGAAAAUUAAGGAUAUAUUGAGAAAAGGAAGACACAGGGGAUAAAAGCCAUUUAGGAACCGUACCAUCAACUAUCGAUCCCUGAGAAAAAAGGAAAUGAGCUAGGAAACUAGAUAAAGUAAAACCUAAACAGUAUGUCCUAAAAUCAAGAAGCCAGACUGCCUGUAAUGAGCAAGCGAAGUUUUCCAAAUUUGUGACCAUCAUCCCAGUAAAUAAUGAAAUGCUUUAGAACGCAUGAUAAAGUUGAUGCUGGCACUCAAAGCUUUAAACAAGCAAGAUUUGACUUCCCAAACUAAGGUAGUCAGUCUCUCCCAUCAAAUAGAGAAGGAUCCAGUACAAGCUGAUGAUCAAAACUUAGAUUUGCCUAUAUCCACUUGAAACUGCAUCAGCCUUCAAAUUCUUCAAAAGUUAUUACCAUAGGAAGACAACUCACAAAUGUCCUAAAUCUUUAAAAUCUAAUAUUAGACCAUUGGAGAUGUGCCGCAGAUUUCAAUAUUAAAGCGAAAGUAGAAUAAAAUGGAACGCUAAAGAGAAUCUUAAAAUAACAAAAUAAUCAUAAAUGACUAGCAAUUUGCAUCAUGUUUGUUGAUGAAUUAAGGAAGUCAAGCAUGGUGUACAAGUUUAUUCUUGUGAAUAAAAUGUAUGCAUAAAUAUCGUUAUAUGCUAGAGAUCAUAAUUAUGCAAGAGAGCCAUACCUCAACCUCAACCGCACUGAACCCAAAUCCAGAGUCUCCUUCAACAGCAACCACAAGCCGUUCAGGGCAAGCUAUUGCAGCAGCAAUGCAAUACCCUAAACCAACCCCCAUGGUCCCCCAAGUCCCUGCAUCCAGCCUACAACGAGGCUCAGUUUGAACCAAUACUGCCCUACCCACAUCCAUAGUAUUUGCCCCUUCAGAUACCAAUAUAGGAGCGGGGCUCCCGACUCCUAAGAUCGCAUCUCUUAUAAUCCUCAUUGGCGUCAUGAAAUUAAACGGCACAACAUCCUUCACCAACUGAACCUCCAUUUUCAACACAUUGUCAUUCGUUUUCUUCCAAAUAGCCUCAACCCAAGGAUGAUUUUUCCCCAAACAAAAAGGUUCAUCUUUAAUCUCCUUAUUAAUCAUUUCCAACACUUUUUUAGCAUCUCCAACCAAACCCAAGUGUGGUUUCCUUAACUCAAUCUCUUCCUUGCAAACAUCAACCAAAACAAACUUCACAUCCUUCGACCACUUCGGUGGCUCACCAAAAUGCAACAACCAAUUAAGCCUCGCACCAACAACAAGCGCAACAUCACAUUGACCUAUGGCUAAUGACCUCGCAGCGGUAGCAGCAAGCGGAUGGGUAUCAGGCAACAGACCUUUACCCAUUGGAGUAGGCAAAAAUGGAAUCCCAGUGCUUUCAACUAAUUUCUUCAAUUCACCCUCAGCUCGCGCAUAAGCUGCGCCUUUCCCAAACACAAUCAACGGCUUCUUUGCUUCUUUAAGCAAAGACACCGCUUUAUCGAUAUCAGAAUUCACAAUCCCCCCUUGCGUCACCGUUUCUUUGGCACUCUCCGCUUCCUUCAGAAGCUUCUCCGCUUCAGAUACCGAUAUCGUUUGAUGUAAAACAUCAGUGGGUAGAUCCAAAUAACACCCGCCGGGCCGCCCCGAAACAGCUCGUUCAAGAACCUGAGCGACACACUUGGGAACUUCCGUAAUGUCCUUCGCUUUUACAGCAAAUUUCGAAAAAGGCUUGACGGCUUCCACUUGGUCGAGUUCUUGAAAAUCGCCGCGGCCAAAAUCUUUCUGAUCGCAGGAGCCGGAUAUCAUGACGAUUGGCCACGUGUUAAUCAUCCCAUUCGAGAGACCAGCCAGACCGUGCACGUAACCCGGACCGGAAACAGUUAACAGAAUGCCGGAUUUUCCAGUCAGGUAUCCGUAGGCGGAGGCGGCGUAGCCAGCGGACUGCUCAUUGUGGAAGGCGAUGAACCGGACGCCGAGCUGGACGGCCCGGUUCGCUAAGGAAGUAACGGGAAUGCCCACCACGCCGAACAUGUGGGUGGCACCGAAUAGUGACAAGGAUUUGGCCGCCAGGGUGUUGCCGUCGAUCUGGGCAUUUUGGGAAUUUUGCAACUCCGAACCCGCCAUUGCUUGCUAGAUGUGUGUGUUUGUGCUAAUGCCCGAGUGAGAAGUGGACGGGGCAAGGGUAAACAAUUUUUUUUUUUUUUUUUUACCACGAGUUAUUUUGGGGUGGAUUAACAGUGGGAGAUACUUCAAGUUCCUAUCAUAAUUUAGAGAGAGACACUUUUAAGUUCGUACCAUAAUUUAAAUUAAAAGUUUAAGUUCUCUUAAUAAAAAUAACUUUUCUAUAACUUAAAUUAAGGAAUAAAUUCAGUCAAACCACUUAAGAAAAAUUCAUUGUCAAUGGAACAACACUUUAUUGGUAACAAAUUCAGCUUUAGGUUGUUGAUAUAUACAUAGGUAAUGGACGAAAUGUCUAUCAUGCCCUUUCCGGCGAUGGUAGCUGGGACAGGUGCCAAUUUUUUUGCAAAUGCGACCAAAAUGGAUAGCUUCACCCAUAAAACGACAUAACUGGUAGUAGGUAUAGCGACAAUGCUUUCCCGAUUAUCAUUAUAUUUUUCUCUGUAGUUAUAAAUAAAGGUGACAAUUUGUUUCCAAAAGUAUCGUUAUUAAUCCUCAUCCGUUGAAUUAUAACACGUAAUUAUUACUUAGGGAUGAUAUUGCUUAAUCGGAAAGAAGGAUGUAAUAACUUUAAAAAAAAAAAUACAUAUGACAUAUAAGAGCAUCAUUAGAAAAUUCUUUUAAUUUAAUUUUUUAAAUACUUAUUUAUUUAUAUAUGUUAUAAAUAGAAGAGAGAAAAUAUCAUUUCUCAUAAGACUUUUCAAAUAAAAAUAAAUUUAUACUAUUUUACUCAAAUUUUUUCUUUCAUUAAAAUAAUAACAAUUAUAACUAUUCCAUCUCUUUAAAAGUAAUGAAAUAAAAAAUAAUAUAGUACGAAAUUAAGUGUUCUAAAAGACUCUCUAAAUAAAUUUUUUUAAAUUUCAAUAUGGACAAUUUUAUUUAAAAAUUAUUUAAAAACUCUUUUUAUUAACAUAACUCUUUAAAUAAAUAGUAAAUUUUCAUUAAAUUUUUUUUUUAAAAAUGUCUAUAACGAGAAAAAAAAUAUUAAUAGCAAGGGUUUGGCUAUGUUGGAGUUCACCUACGGUGGAGAACGAAUCUCAGCCACAUACACAAAAUGAUAAAGAAUAAAUAAUGAGUUAUAAUGAGUUUUUUAAUAUUUAUUACUUUGCGUGUGUGGUUGAGAUUCGUGUUCCACAGUAAGUGAACUCUAACAUAAUCAUAGCCUAACAACAAUUACCAAAUCAAAUCUUUGAGCACAUGAUUUUAUAUGGGCUUCUACAAAUUGUGGACAUCCAUAAAUAAAUUAGAGUUCAUAACCGAUUCUUGCUCUGACAUAUUCUGUUUAAUUUUUAAUUUAGAAUUUCUCAGUUACAAUUUACAACUCUUAUAUUCCUAUACAUGAAUUGCAAUGCCUUGGAUGCUUGUGUUGAAAUAUGAUGCAACCGAAGCAUGUGUGACGUUGUAUGACAUGUCAUGUAUAACGAAAAAAAAUGUACGACUUGUCAUCCUUAAACUAAAAGACACGUAUGACAAAAAAAAAAUGGUUAUCUCCAAUUUAUAUUUCCGAUUACAAUAGUCAUUGAUUCAGUGCUCAGCAAAGUUAAAUCCUAGUUCUAAUAAUAUACUCAGGGUUUUAUUUAUUUAUUUUGUAUUUUUAGAAAAAAAUAUUUGACUAACAAUCAUCAAGAUUGACUAACAUAUAUUACUUGACAACAAAUAAAGAAACUACUGCUCAAGAGACACUUUCAACAACGCAUAGACGUGAGGUAAAUAACAAGAGUGAAUAGACACUUAGGUAGUGUUUACUUGUUGUAGUAGGAGUAAGGAGUCUGGAUUCCUCCUACUCCAGUGUUUACUUACUAAUUUUAAAGGAGGAGUGAGAAUCCUACUCCUUGGGACCCACUUUUUUUUGGAGUGGGGAGUGGGAAUCCACUCCCCUCUCUUCCAUUUUUAUCCUAAUAUUUAAUUAAAUAAAAUAAAUAAUAUUUAAUUAAAUAAAAUAUUAUUAUUAUUUUAUUUUAUAAAUUAUACUUAUUAAAAAUAAUAAUUUAUAUUGAUUCUAAGUUAAAAUUACUUAAAAAUAAUAUUAUUAUACUCACAGAGAAUUAAUAAUAUUACUAUAUACUCUUUUUAUUUGAAAAUAUAAUAUUAUUAUAUUUAUUUAAAAAUAAUAGUAUUAUAUUUAUUUAAUAUUAGUAAUUAAUAAUAAUCAAUAUUUUAUUCUAAGAAAAUAUUAAUUUUGUAUUAUAUUAUUAAUAAUAAUGUUUCAUUUGUGUUGCUCUUAAUAAUAAUUUUUUAUUUACAUAAUUAAAAUUAAAUUUAAUAAAAAAAUAUUUACAUAAUUAAGAAUAUUAUUAAUUAUUAUUAAUUUAAAAAUAUAAUAAAAUAAAUAUUUUAUUUUUCAAAUCUAUUUUUUUAUUAAUUUUGUAAUUAAAAACUAUAAUUCUUUAAAUAAGGAUAAAACUGUAAUUUAAAAUCAUUUACUCUCAAUUCUAUGCUCUCAUUCCAGUGUAAGUAAACAACUUAUUCCCACUCCCACUCCAUACUCUACACUCCUAAUCCCAAAAUUCUCACUGCUCAUGAUUCCCACUCCAAUCUAAAAUGUAAACGCACCAUAAUUAAUUGAUUGAUAAUCGAAGUUCGAAGCCUCAGUGUGCUAACAAGCAGUAAAGUCAACAACACUAAGCUAUAAAUGGCAAACGUUAAUGCUCAUGAUGACAUCCAAAUCAAGUUCAGAAUCGUUGAACAUUUGAAAACAAUCACAACAGGAAGCUAUAAAUGGCAAAAGUAUGGAGGUGCCACUAUUGCCUGAGAGGGAAGAAGAGAGGAAAUGGGUGGUGGUGGUGCUACCACGGCUAUCCUUUUUGGAAGAGCUGAAGACGUUGAGCUUCUUAUCAGCGCCGCCGGCAGGGGUGGCCUGUUUUCGGUUCUUUUUGCUGGCUACAGCAACGAUGAUGGUGGGACACCUUGGAAAACUUUCACUUGAUAGUAUUGCCAUUGCUAACUCCUUAAUUAAUGUCAUCGGCUCCAUUCCACUUGUAAUAUUUUCUUCAUUCCCUUUUCUUUUUACCAUUAGAAAACUGCUUUACUUCUUCUUCUUCUUUGUUUCACAUCAAAGCAUGCUUCGUUUAUUUAAUCUAAUGACACUGCUUUGUAUGCCUUUUGUUUUGUAGCAAGUUAACAAUUUGCUUGUGCUCGCUAGAAAAUUGUUUAAAUGACUCAAUAUAAUCCACACAGCAAUAAUAUAACAAUAGCUAUUUUUAAAUCCAGAUCAACGACAAGCAACCACAACUAUAUGGUUAAACAAGUUAAAUCAAGCUCGUUUAGCUAUAAUAAGCAAUCAACUUUAGAACUUUAGCUUGACUUUCAUAGGUGAGAAUACCAAGCAGGUCUAUUUUGACUAGGCUAAGAUCAACAAAUUAAUAAACUUUGAUUAAUUAUUGGCGAAGAAUUAAUCAAUAUUACUUGGAAGAUAUUAAGAAACUUUGUUCACCUUUUCUGUCACUGGUCCAAAUAAUUUAUGAAGUACUUUUUUGAGCCUUUUUUUUUUGGAAAGGUAGUACUUUUUGAGCUUGAACAAGCAUUAUUAUAACUGAUCUUAGUUUACUCCAUAUUUUCCAUGCUACCGCUGUUUACAUAAAACGGAUUUUGGGAGAAUAGCAUAUAUUUCAUCAAUAAUCAAUUGAGACAUAUAAGAUUAGCCAACAAAAUGAUAUCUAAUGUGGACAAUGCCAUUAAAUUUUGAGCAGUUUGGUUUUGCCUCUGCAUUAGAGACUCUAUGUGGACAAGCUUAUGGAGCAGAGCAAUAUCAAAAGAUUGGAACCUAUACUUACCCUGCUAUGUUCUUUUGCAUUGCAAUUUGUAUCCCCAUCUCUGUUCUUUGGAUAUUCAUGGACAAAGUACUAAACUGCUAGGCCAAGACCCUGAUUUUUUUGUCGAAGCCUGCAAUUACGCAAUUUGGCUCAUACUGACAUUAUUUGGCUAUGCUAUUCUUCGAUCACUAUCUCACAAUCUCCAGGCUCAGAGCUUGAUUCUGGCAUUGUUCUUAAGCUCAUGUGCAACUCUUUGUUUGCAAAUUCUUCUUUGUUGGGGUCUAGUAUCUAAAACAGACUUUGGAAAUACAGGAGCAGAAUUAACCAUAGGUAUUUCUUAUUGGUUCAAUGUGAUCAUCCUUGCACUUUACAUGGGAUAGAACUCACACGGUGAUCACCAAGGAAAUUUUCCCUAGCACGAAGGAGUUCUCCUUCUUUGCACACCUUUCAGUUGUAAUGUUUUGGUAAUUUGCCUAUCGUACUUUGCAAUGUUUUUGUUAGUUUUCUGUUCUUAUAAAUUGACUUACAGUGUGCCUUUUGUUUCCAAUAACUAAAGUCUCGAAUGGUGGUCAUAUGAGAUUCUGGUACUGCUGUCUUGAAUAUUACCAAAUCCAAAACUUGAAACAUCAGUUCUUACAAUAUGGUACGUAUCUACACUUACGGUUUUGACUUUUGAGUAAACGGGGAAAAUUCUCAGUAGGGUUGAAUUGAUUUCCUUUGCUCUUCAUAUGCAGCGUUACAAUCCAGUCAACACACCAUUUUAUGCCAUUUGGUAUUAGUGCUGCCGCAAUGUUUGAUCUAUAUGUUGUUUCAAAAGCAUGCACUUACGAGUAAAUGAAAUAAUUCAUUACCUACUAGUUAAAAAAACCCUGAUUAAUUCUGUGUACUGAGCUGUAUCGCAAUCCACCGUUGUGCAGCACUCGAGUGGCAAAUGAAUUAGGAGCUGGAAAUCCAGAACCAGCUCGAUUGUCUACAUGUGUCGUGAUAUUUCUUGCAGUUGCAGAGGCAGCCAUAGGAAGCGUAGCUCUAUUCUGCUGCCGCAAUGUUUUGGCAUAUUUGUUCAACACUGACAAGGACGUUGUGAAUUAUGUGUCUGAAUUAGUUCCUCUGCUUAGCACUGCCAUUUUCAUGGACAGCAUGCAAUCAGUACUUUCCGGUCAGAAUCCCAUCAUUCUGUCAGGACUUUUAUUUUCACUCUUUUCACUCAGCUAGUGCUUCAGAGCUUGAAAAAGAUUUGAUGAUUUAUUUCUCACCAUUCACUUUCCUUAUCACAAGUAGCUAGAGUAAUUGGGUGACAGCACAUAGGAGCUUACGUAAAUCUUGGUGCAUUUUAUCUUGUUGGAAUUCCGGUAGCAUCUGUGCUAUGUUUUGUUCUUCAUCUUAGAACAAAAGGCCUUUUGCUCGGAUUAAUCAUUAAUGCCAGGCUCAACUGUCGCAAUUGCGCUCGCCAUCGUUACUUCUUUAACAAUUUGGGAAAAACAGGUUUCUAUUUCAUUUCACACUUUUUUCAAAUUAUCUGCUUCUUCAGCAGUGAGUUAUCCUUUAAUUUUGCUGGCUGACAUUGAUCUUUCAUGUGGAUAUCUUUCCAGGCUACCUUGGCCAGAGAGAGAAUAAUUAAGGGAGCAUCUUCAACUGAUAAUAGAUCGGUUCGAUGCAAAACGUAAUUAAACAUUUUGUUUCCAUCGUAUCAAAAUUUCUUAGGAUGUGAGCUGCGAGUAUAUACUGUUACAAAACCAAGACCAAUUUUGGACAAUGCUAUUGUUGUGGCAAUUAAUUUAUCGAAAACUUGGUGUGCAGAAGCAAACCCAAGAAUUUUAAGAGCAAACAAUGUCCAAAUCACCAAUACAAUCAAUUUUGUGAAAUUGAUUCACAAGGCUACGUCCUCGGAUAAUUCCUAGAUUUACCAUGAAAUUUUACAUUUAAAAGAAGCAUGAUAAACAUCCUUUAUUUUAAAAUUAUGGAUUCUCUCAUGAUUUAAAUUCUCGUAGGAGCAAUUCAUAGUGGUGAUGGUUAUUAAUAUAUAAAAAUGUAAUGAUAGUUUAGUUUAAUCCCAACCAUUAUUUGUGACAAACACUUGGCGCAAGAUCUUAGACUCUUAAAUCGAAAUGAAUAAAUGUUUUAAACCUCAGUCGCAUUUAAACUUGUAUAAACUAAAAAUAGUCAAUUUCUAUUUUAAAUAAUCACAUUUAAGAUAGUUUAUGUGUUGAUCAAAUACUUGUUUAGACUUGUUUAGGCUUUCAAACUAUAUAUGUUGAUCAAAUACACUGAGUAUGAGAUGUGGCUUGCAAAACAGCUAAGGCAAAAUAGUCCCCAAAUAAUUAAACCAGAUUAAUUUCCACAACUGACAAAUAGAAGUGUCGUACAUUUUUCAAAGAGCGUGUCUUAAUCGUGCCGAUUAACAUCCAAAAUGUCUUUGUUAUUAGUCGAUUACUACUAGCUAUUAUUGUUAUUAUUAUAACAGUUACCACGAAAACAUCGUCGAGAUAUUUCAUCCAUCUCACCCCAUUUUCAUGCACAAAUAAAUUGAAAAAGAAAAAUCACUUAUGAAUGAUGAGAAUCGAGCCUCUUGCAACAUAUCUACAUGGUAUAUUUUAACCAGGCACUGAGUGUAGCUAGGGACAACAUGCGAUGGUCAGCCUCUUGCAACAUACCUAAACUUCAGUAUGAUUGGUAAUCAACAAAAGUACUAGUCAAUCUUGACUUCAAACUCAAGGGAAGCAUCUUUAUCCGAAUUAAAGAGAUCCAGUCUAUCAUUUAUUGUUGUAUUGUUAGCAUACAAUUAUUACCAGAGAAUACAAGCAUAUAGAGGUUCUGCCCGAGGCUGAGAACGAAGAAGAGAAGAAGAAAUGGGCGGUAACACGGCGAGCGUUUGUGCAAGAGCUGAAGAAGGUGAGCUUCUUGGCAGCGCCUCUUGCCGGGGUAACUGUUUUUCAGUUGCUUUUGCCGGCUGUAUCAACGAUGAUGGUGGGACACCUUGGAAAACUUUCGCUUGCUAGCAUUACCAUCGCCACCUCUCUCACCAAUGUCACUGGCUUCACUCCACUCGUAAUUUUUUUUUCUUAAUUUUUACCAUUAAAAUGCCCUUCUAUAUAGGGCGUUACUUUUGAUUCUAUUUUCUUUUCUUUACUUUAGCUUGACUUUCAUGGGUGAUCAGAGCAAUCAACUUGAUAAAAUAGUAAGGGUAUAACAAAGGUUUUUCAUCAAACAAACAGUUUUAUAUACGUAUUUAGCUUAAAAGCUAUAGCUGCUAGGAAGCAAUACCAAAAGGAGUCUGAAUAUAUAAUUCGCUAUACCAUUCCACUCACCAGAGCGAAUAAUAUUUUCAUGUUCUGCUUGAGUUUGAACAAGAAUUAUACUCUAACUAACCAUUUUGGUGUGCUACUGUACUUAACUAGAUUUGCGAUAAUUGCUUAUAUGUUUCUUCUUUAUUUCAAUCUGUUAAGAUUAGCCUGCAACAUGAUAUCUUAGUAUUUGUGUUUCUGAAUCAGUACAAACUUGUCAAAUACAUGUAUAAUGUUGACGUUAACUUUAAAUUUUGAACAGUUUGGUUUUGCCUGUGCAUUAGAGACUCUAUGUGGACAAGCUUAUGGCGCAGAACAAUAUCAAAAGAUUGGGACGUAUACUUACUCUGCUAUGUUCUUUUGCAUUGCAAUAUGUCUCCCAAUCUCUGUUCUUUGGAUAUUCAUGGACAAAAUAUUAAUGCUGCUACACCAAAACCCUCAGAUUUCUGUUGAAGCCCGCAAUUAUGCAAUCUGGCUUAUACCAGCAUUAUUCGGCUAUGCGAUUCUUCGAUCACUGUGUCACAAUCUCCAGGCUCAGAGCUUGAUUCUAACAUUGUUCUUAAGCUCAUGUACAACUCUAUGUUUGCAUAUUCUUCUUUGUUGGGUUCUAGUGUUUAAAGCCGACUUUGGAAGUACCGGAGCAGCAUUAUCCAUUAGUAUGUCUUAUUGGUUCAAUGUGAUCAUCCUUGCUCUUUACAUGAGACACUCUCCAUCGUGUACAAAAACUCGCACUUUGAUCUCCAAGGAAAUUUUGCCUUGCAUGAAGGAGUUUACCGCCUUCGCUCUCCCCUCGGUUUUCAUGUUUUGGUAUAAUUUGUCAAUCUCACUUUGCAAUGUUAUUGUUAGUUUCUGUUAUUAUUGGUUUACUUACAGCGUGCUGUUUCGUUCCCAAUAAUUAUAGUCUUGAAUGGUGGUUCUAUGAGAUUCUGAUAUUACUGUCGGGACUUUUACCAAACCCCAAACUUGAAACAUCAGUUAUAUCUAUAUGGUACACUUCUGACAUCACUUGUGGUUUGCUUUUGGUGAAUUUUUUGGGGAAACUCUCAAUAGGGUUGAAUUGAUUUUCUUUGAUCUCCAUAUGCAGCUUUACAAUCCAGGCAACACACUAUUUUAUACCAUUUGGAAUUGGUGCUGCCGCAAGGUUUGAUCUAUGUCCUAUUUCAAAAGAGAUGCAAGUGGCAUAUGCAUUAUUUCUGUGUACUGAGAUUUUCUGUAGCAUUCGAGUGUCAAAUCAAUUAGGAGCUGGAAAUCCACAGCCAGCUCGGUUGGCUACCCGUGUUGCGGUGGCUCUUGCUGCCGCAGAGGCAGCCAUAGUGAGCAUAGCUCUAUUCUGCAGCCGAUAUGUCUUGGCAUAUGCAUUCAACAGUGACCAGGACGUCGUGAAAUAUGUGUCUAGAUUAGCUCCUCUGCUUAGUAUUGCUAUAUUCAUGGACAACAUGCAAUCGGUACUUUCCGGUGAGAAUCCUAACAUUCUAUCAGGAUUUAUUUGCACUCAUCUAAUGCUUAAAUAGCAGUGAACAUGCAGCUAAUAAUUUAAUUUUCGCGAAUUUACCUUUCUCGUCAGGGGUAGCUAGAGGAAUUGGGUGGCAGCACAUAAGGGCUUAUAUAAAUCUUGGUGCAUUUUAUCUCGUUGGAAUCCCGGUAGCGUAUGUGCUAUGUUUUUCAGUUCAUCUCAGAACGAAAGGCCUUUUGCUUGGAUUAAUGUCAGGCUCAACCGUACAAGCAGUUGCGCUUGCCGUCGUUACUUCAUUAACCAAUUGGCAAAAACAGGUUUCUGUAAUUCAUUUUUACUUUUGUUCUACGUGUUUGUUUCUUUGACAAUAUAUUAAUCAUCCUCUAAUCUGUUGGCUGACACUGAAUUUUUCAUAAUUUCAUGUGGAUAUUUUUCCAGGCAACCAUGGUCAGGGAAAGAAUAUUGGAGGGAGCACCUUCUACUGAAAAUCCAUCGGUUUGAUCCACCUGGGCUAGUAAUUAAUUACCCUGUUUUGUUUUUCAUCGUAACAAAUUACAUUCUCGAGACGAGAGCUGUAAAAUUUAACAGUGCUGGCAUUCUGACAAGCACCGGGUGACAAUUAUCGAACAGUUGGUAAGCAGAAGCAAAUAAACCCAACAAUAAGCACUAAUUUUUUAUAACAGCUAGUCAGCUACCACAAACAAUUUUUUUUUUCUUUAUAAUGAACUUCAGAAGAGAGAGAGAGGGGGGUAAAAAGCUAUAAUAAUAAUUAAAAAAAAAAAACUUAGAAAUAACUCCUAAUAAUAAUAAUAAUCAGGUGGAUCAUAGUACGCCACUACGCCUUAUAAUUCGUAAUAAAAGUAUACUGCUGAAACAUAAAUUUAAAAAAAAAAAAAAAAACACUCGAUGAGAUAACAAUACAAAGAAACAGCUAAACCAAUUAUUUAGAAAACCAUAUUUGCAUACCACAAACUAAUUUAAAGAUAACGUACGAUAUAACAGCAGUAGCAGAAAUAAGGUUGAUACAAUAAUUAAUGAAGCUCUACGCUACACCAAUUAGUGGUACCAUACCAUGCAUGAUCCAUCACACAGAGGAAAAAGAAAAAAAAAAAAGAUUUUAUUUAGCUUACUAUAUAUAUACGUAUUGCCAGCAGCCUGCAUGCUAGUACGGGGGAGGGGGAGGAUGAGGAGGGCGGUUCCAAGGCGGCGUUGGCCUGUAGGGAUCAUAGUUAUAAGGAGGUGCGGGACCGGGGGGGCCCGGAGGCGCUGCAAAAGGAGGGGGUGGAGAGUGAUGGUGAUGGUACCGAGGAGGUGGUGGAGGAGGCGGAUGGAACAAUUCGGGGCGGGGUGGCGGUGGUGGUGGAGGUGAAGGACCGUAAACGUGAGGUGGCGGCGGUGGGUGAGGAGCAUAUGGAUCUGCUGCCGCUGGUGGUGGUGGUGGUGGUGGAGGACCUGGACCUGGACGGUGGUGUCUAUGAAAUGCCAUGUUUUUGAAAGUUAGGUGAUCAAUACAAAGUGCUGUGCUGUUGUUUUUGUUUUAAGGGAUUUGGAGUUGUUUGUAUGUAUUUCCUUUGACGGUUCGUCGGAUGACGUGCCCAUGUUUGUGCCUCGGCUUCCUCAGCCAAUCAGAUUUUUAUUUUUGUCAAAAUUCGUUUCGUCUCCUCAUAUACUCCGUUUCAAGAGUGCAUCAUAUUU
rnacentral:lncRNA from 1 species